GCCUAUGGCCAGACUGGACUGAUUGCACCUGAUCCCGUCCGAUCUUGGAAGCUAAGCAGUCCCGGGCCCGACUAGUACCUGGAUGGGAGAUUGCCUGGGAAUCCCAGGUGCUGUAGGCG
rnacentral:rRNA from 1 species